GCUGGCUUACCGUCUAGUGCAUG
rnacentral:miRNA from 9 species